rnacentral:rRNA from 1 species
AUUGAACGCUGGCGGCAGGCCUAACACAUGCAAGUCGAACGGUAGCACAGAGAGCUUGCUCUCGGGUGACGAGUGGCGGACGGGUGAGUAACGUCUGGGAAACUGCCCGAUGGAGGGGGAUAACUACUGGAAACGGUAGCUAAUACCGCAUAACGUCGCAAGACCAAAGUGGGGGACCUUCGGGCCUCACACCAUCGGAUGUGCCCAGAUGGGAUUAGCUAGUAGGUGGGGUAAUGGCUCACCUAGGCGACGAUCCCUAGCUGGUCUGAGAGGAUGACCAGCCACACUGGGACUGACACACGGUCGAGACUCCUACGGGUAGCAGAAGUUGGGAAUAUGGCACAAUGGGCGCAAGCCCGAUGCAGCCAUGCCUCGUGUAUGAAGAAGGCCUUCGUGUUGUAAAGUACUUUCAGCGGGGAGGAAGGCGGUGAAGUUAACAGCUUCACCGAUUGACGUUACCCGCAGAAGAAGCACCGGCUAACUCCGUGCCAGCCGCCGCCGUAA